rnacentral:rRNA from 1 species
CCUUAGAGUUUGAUCCUGGCUCAGGACGAACGCUGGCGGCGCGCCUAACACAUGCAAGUCGAACGGGACUAUGCUGGAAGAAGUUUUCGGAUGGAUUUUGGUAUAGUUUAGUGGCGGACGGGUGAGUAACACGUGAGCAACCUGCCUUCGAGAGGGGAAUAACGGCUGGAAACGGUCGCUAAUACCGCAUAAUAUACAGGAGGGACAUCCCUUUUGUAUCAAAGAUUUAUCGCUCGAAGAUGGGCUCGCGUCCGAUUAGGUAGUUGGUGAGGUAACGGCCCACCAAGCCGACAAUCGGUAGCCGGACUGAGAGGUUGAACGGCCACAUUGGGACUGAGACACGGCCCAGACUCCUACGGGAGGCAGCAGUGGGGGAUAUUGUACAAUGGGGGAAACCCUGAUGCAGCGACGCCGCGUGUGGGAAGACGGUCCUCUGGAUUGUAAACCACUGUCCCCAGGGACGAAGAUGACGGUACCUGGGGAGGAAGCUCCGGCUAACUACGUGCCAGCAGCCGCGGUAAUACGUAGGGAGCAAGCGUUGUCCGGAAUUACUGGGUGUAAAGGGAGCGUAGGCGGGAUGGCAAGUUGGGUGUUAAAUCUACCGGCUCAACUGGUAGUCGCACUCAAAACUGCUAUUCUUGAGUGAAGUAGAGGCAGGCGGAAUUCCUAGUGUAGCGGUGAAAUGCGUAGAUAUUAGGAGGAACACCAGUGGCGAAGGCGGCCUGCUGGGCUUUUACUGACGCUGAGGCUCGAAAGUGUGGGGAGCAAACAGGAUUAGAUACCCUGGUAGUCCACACCGUAAACGAUGAUUACUAGGUGUGGGGGGUCUGACCCCCUCCGUGCCGGAGCAAACGCAAUAAGUAAUCCACCUGGGGAGUACGGCCGCAAGGUUGAAACUCAAAGGAAUUGACGGGGGCCCGCACAAGCAGUGGAGUAUGUGGUUUAAUUCGAAGCAACGCGAAGAACCUUACCAGGUCUUGACAUCGUGUGCAUAGCCUAGAGAUAGGUGAAGUCCUUCGGGACACACAGACAGGUGGUGCAUGGUUGUCGUCAGCUCGUGUCGUGAGAUGUUGGGUUAAGUCCCGCAACGAGCGCAACCCUUGUAUUUAGUUGCUACGCAAGAGCACUCUAGAUAGACUGCCGUUGACAAAACGGAGGAAGGUGGGGAUGACGUCAAAUCAUCAUGCCCCUUACGACCUGGGCCACACACGUACUACAAUGGCGCACAACAGAGGGAAGCAAGACAGCGAUGUGGAGCAAACCCCUAAAAUGCGUCCCAGUUCAGAUUGCAGGCUGCAACCCGCCUGCAUGAAGUCGGAAUUGCUAGUAAUCGCGGAUCAGCAUGCCGCGGUGAAUACGUUCCCGGGCCUUGUACACACCGCCCGUCA